AAUAAAAAAAAAAUUCAAAAAGUAGAAAAAAUGAGACAUUCAAUUUUUUCCUAAUUUUUUUUCUCUCAUUCUAAUCACCGAUCAAAAUUGAUUGAUGAUUUGAAAACUAAGGCAUUAUUUGGUUGAGGGAUAAAGUGGGAAUAGACCACUUUAUCACUCUAAUUCAUCCAAACACUAUAAGAGGGAGUGAGUUUAUUUAAUCCCCCUCUUAACGGGUUAUUCUAUAAUAACCCGUUAAGAGGGGGAUUUGUUGUUCCACUCUUUUGGUGGAAUAACAAAUUUUUCUCUUUAUACCUCUACUAGUUUAAUAAUAAAAUAUUAUUAAUUAAUAUAUUAUAUAUAUCAUUUUAUUAACUAAUUAGCUAAAUUAAAAAUUAACUAAUUUAAUAAUAAAAUAUUAGCUAAAUUAAUAAUUAUUUAUUAGUGUGUUUAUGCAAUAACUAAUAUCUUUAUUGAUUAAUAAAUUAAUAUUUUUACCAACAUAACUAAUUAAAUAAUUAAUUAAUUAAUUAAUUUACUAAUAUAUUAAUUUAUUAGCCUAAUUUGUUAACUUAUUAAAUUAUUUAUAGUUAGAUAAUUUAUUAAUUAACAGUACUCAUGGUUAAUUGAUUAAUGAUUAAUUAAUCUGGUAAAAUUAAUGUAUUAAUUAACAUUUAUGAUUAUCUAAUAAUAUUCAUGAUAAAUUAAUUUUUUAAAAUUAUAAAUUUGAGAUUUUAAAAUUUUAAAAUUUAAUUUUGAUUUUUAAAAUUUAAAAGUUUAUAUUUUAAAUUUUAAAAUAUAAAUAUAAAAUAUAAAAAUUCUAAUUCUAAUAUAAAGAAAAGAAUAAUAUUAUUAUUUUUUAUUUAUAACUACCCACUUUAAUUCUUAUUCCAUCUUACCUAACCAAAGGCUAUUUUUUUUAUUUCUAAGAAUAAUCUCAUUUUAAUCCAAACACAAAAUUAAUCUAAUCUCCGCUUAUACCUCAAUUUAUAUCUAUUUCCGGAAUACCAACUUUUUGCUUAUUCUCGAACCAAACGAUACCUAAUAGCACAAAAACUACUGUACGUCUAAUAACACAAUAAUCCUACUGAAUAUAGUAGAUA
rnacentral:lncRNA from 1 species